rnacentral:piRNA from 1 species
UGCGCCAGGUAUGAGAGAAGCCACACCA